UACAGAGGUUCCAAGCGUUGUUCGGAUUCACUGGGCGUAAAGGGUGCGUAGGUGGUGAGGAAAGUCGGAUGUGAAAUCUCCGGGCUUAACCCGGAAACUGCAUUGGAAACUACCUUGCUAGAGGUUUUGAGGGGGGACUGGAAUUCUCGGUGUAGCAGUGAAAUGCGUAGAUAUCGAGAGGAACACCAGUGGCGAAGGCGAGUCCCUGGAAAACACCUGACACUGAGGCACGAAAGCUAGGGGAGCAAACAGG
rnacentral:rRNA from 1 species